rnacentral:misc_RNA from 1 species
UUUUAACAGAAACGCCCGCGUUAAGGAUAGCAGUGGAAAGCCCACAGGCACGAGGACUUGUAACGAAUAGCCUGACCCCGC